rnacentral:hammerhead_ribozyme from 1 species
AUCCAGCUGAUGAGUCCCAAAUAGGACUAAACGUGCGUUGUCCUGGAU